rnacentral:tmRNA from 1 species
UACCUUGAAUUUUUUCUAAAAAGGACUAUUUUUAGUAUUGAUAGGAAACUAUCUANNNNNNNNNNCUAUCUAUGGCAAUAAACCGUCUAUGGAAUAGUCGUUGCGGACCCGGGGGCGGUACCCGGCGUCUCCACCAGAACAUUAGUUGAAAAUUUAUGGGGACGAAAUAGGAUCGACGUGCGUAAUAAAGAUAUUCGUUUUGCUCGGUAUAGUACCACCGUUAUCGGACUAAACAUGAUAAGAGGCAACGUAAGUUCUUCUUCAACUGGUGGACGUGGUAAUUCACGCACAGCGAAUCGUAACGUUAAAGCUGCCAAUGGCAACCGUACACGUCGCGUUGUAGCUAAAGCUGCUUAAAAGUUCGUUUUACGAAUAAUACAGUGGUUUUCCAGUAGCGGUUUGAGGGGCCCCGGGCAACAGAAUGCCCCUCGCU